UACAGAGGUCCCAAGCGUUGUUCGGAUUCAUUGGGCGUAAAGGGUGCGUAGGCGGCGCGGUAAGUCGGGUGUGAAAUCUCGGGGCUUAACUCCGAAACUGCAUUCGAUACUGCCGUGCUUGAGGACUGGAGAGGAGACUGGAAUUUACGGUGUAGCGGUGAAAUGCGCAGAUAUCAGGAGGAACACCGGUGGCGAAGGCGGGUCUCUGGGCCGUAACUGACGCUGAGGAGCGAAAGCGUGGGGAGCAAACAGG
rnacentral:rRNA from 1 species